rnacentral:snoRNA from 3 species
AGGGUAUGAUGAGAAAAGUCAUGAACUACUCUGAGGAGAUUUAUCUCUUUGUGCUGAUAAACAAACUUUACAACCCAUUGUAAAUCCAAGCCA